UUUGUUGAUUUGAUUUUGUUAUUUAAAUUUCUCUAGGCCAUGAUCUGGUUCCAUCUCCAUGACUAUGCAAAGAUCAGUUUUGGAACCCCUCUUUCAAAAUAUUGAACCUGUAGAUGAGGAUCCUUGCACAUCUUGCUAAUUGUAAGAGCAUGUUGGAAGCCUUUGAAGACGGUGGAGAUUUCCAUUCAAGAACUGCAAUGAAUAUGUAUCCGUAUAUUCGUGAUGCAGUUAACGAGAAGCAUUUGCUUCUGGUGAAGACAAACCCCCAAUUCCACUUUUGAAGUGAAGGUCGGACAUCAUUACACUGAGCCGUGGAUUGUGGCUACCUUAAUGUCAGAGUUGCUUAUUCUUAGUUUAGCA